rnacentral:lncRNA from 1 species
UCAUGGCCCUUGUCUGGCCCAUGAGUCACUGGUUCUUAAAGCCUGUAACAUCUUGUUCUCACAGAUGUUUCCCUCAUGGCUAAAAUUACUCUUAAUGCCCCUACACAGAAUCAUGCCUGGGACAUGUAGCAGUGAUGGGAGCCAGCUAACAGAACGCAUCAGAAUAUCUGUUUAAGCUUGCUUAUAUUCUGCUACCUGGAAGAAUGUGGGUGUGAAAUAAACUUCCUUCUCUCUACCAGGCUUGGGGAGCCAGGGUCCCAGGCCUGUAGGAAUGAAUCAAGUAGUAUUGAUGCUUCUUAGCGUGUAGUUUGCAAACUGCAUCUGUGUCAUUGCUGUGUUAUUCAUUCAUUUGUUUAUCUUGCCAAAACAUUAACGUUUGUGAAACAGCUUUAGAGGACUGUGGUGGAUUAGUGUAGCAUGAAAGGAAGUGAUGGCUUGUUCUCAAACAGGGAGAAAAGACCUUUCAUUGUAGAAUUCAAAAUUUAUUUAUUGUCUGAUGGACUGUAUUACAGGUCCGUUGCAUAGCAACAAAAUAAAGUUUGUUUAGGAAAGUCUGAAGUUUUCUUAUAAUGUAAAGAUAGAGAACGCUUUUUGAACUUAUGUUUGCUUCAACAUGUGUGCUGUCACAUGCCAAUUAUAGGAGAACAUCAGGAUGAGAGUUUAUUUUAGGUAAUGCAAAUGUUAGCACAAAUGAUAGAAGGGUAUUAUUAUAUGUUUAUGAGAUGGGAAAUCUUAUCUAUUUAAAAGGAUGCAAUUUCCUGUUCUUAUCCAACUCUAACUUGAGCAGUCAGUAUCCUUCUUUCCUCCCAAAUGUAGUUGCCAUUACUGUUUGGGGAAAAUAAGAAAUGCUUAUUUUUAUCCAGUUAUCUGUUUGUUUUUCUACUGAUAUUUUUCUGAAUAUCAUUUUAGAUAAGGAGCAGAGGUUGGUUCAAGUGAAAAUUUUCCAGGAACUUCUGCAAACCAAAAAUUGUGUUACCAUGAAUGAUGCCGGAACAAGGGCUGGAAUUCAAGUGAGCAAUAAAUUUUAUUUUGUUUGUUCACUUGAUUCAGCUUCAUUGGAAAAAGAUUCUGGCUUGAUUUCCUACCUGUAUUCUCUGGUUAGAUCAUCUGUUUUUAAAGCUGAUUUGUUUUCCAUUAUAGUCAAAACACUGAGUCUAUUUCUAACAGUGGGGAUCUUCUUAUUGAUGGAAUAGUUUACUGUAAUAUAUUUCACAUUAUGUAUUAGAGCUUUAUUACAAACCUCACUAAAUGAAGGUCAAAGCCAACCCACCCCCAAAACUUUGGGUUAGGAUUCCAAAGAUCCGAGUGAACAGCCACUAGAGACAUUAUUUAACCUUAGGAUCCUCAGAUUCUUGGCUAUGAAAUUAGGACACAACAUCGUGAAAUGUGUAAUACUGCAUUGUGAAUUAUAAAUUGGCAUUCAAAGUCCUAUUCACAACGAUUAUUAUCAGAAGAGAUAAUAUAACUCCAAUAUGCAUUUUGUUUUUAUAUUAUUUAUUUCAAAAAUGACUUUUUGUGGCAAUGGUUAAGGAUUUCAAGCAAUUCAACAAGUAAAAAUGAAAUUCACAUAUUUUAUCACAUAGAAAUAAUUGUUAUUUAUAUUAGGUGAAUAGCCUUUCGGACACUGCUAUAUACAUAUAAAUAAUAAGCAGCUGGAUAUAUAGGUAGAAAUAUUUUCACUCAAAUAUAAUUAAUCAAUAAAUAUUACAUUUAAGUCAAAUAUUUAAUUUAGUUUUACUUGAAUUUAGAAGGGAAAGUGAAACUGAAGGAAUUUUUAAAAUUAAGGUAAAUGAUUCUUCCAAAAAGAAACAUAUUAAGUGCUCAUUGCAUUUUGAAAAUUAUUUAAAACCCAAGAGGUUGGAGUAAUUUUUUUUUAUUUCUAGCUCAUCCAUACUUCAGUUUGGACACUAUCUGUUAGCUCGUCACUCUAAUAUGAAGAAAUUAGCCCCUCUUACACCUACUUUCUUUUUUUCCCCUUCUCUCCCAAUUUUCUUAACGUAUUAUUUUUCUGCUAUCAAAGUAUAAAGCAUCCUCCUAUGCAACAAUAAUUUCCAAAAUUGUUUAAUAUUAGUUUUCAUUGAAAAGGGUUUAGUAUUGGUAGCUUCUCUAUUCCCUGGUUCUCAACUUUGAUUUACUUCUUCCUGUUUCCCUGGAUUUCAUUGAUAAAUUAUAUUUUCAAAAAUAACUGUAUUCCUUGAGUGUGCGUAUGUUUAAACAUCAGCCUGAUGAUUUUCUAUUUGAGCGAUAGCUAAAAUGAAUACAAUACUUUGGGGCCACACUUACCUUUGAUAGACAAUUGCAUUACCAUCUGGCAUCUGGUGAAAUCCAGACUGGCUUUCUUUUCUUCUCUUCCUGUUAACUUAGCACCAUUCACCGAAACAAAUAAACAAAAAGCAAAAACAAAAACAAAACGUGAUACCUGAAAAAUUCGUUGUUUACUUUCUUGGCUGUACUCAUGGCAUACAGAAGUUCCCAGGCCAGAGAUCAGACACCUGCCACAACUGAAACCAGAGCCACAGCAGUGACAAUGCCAGAUCCUUAACCUGUCGAGCCACCAAAGAACUCUCUGAAAAAUUAUUUCUUUAUCUUUGAAUUUUAAUACUUUCGGAUGGGGCAGUGCUAAAUAUUACAUGAUUCACAAUUUAAAACAGGAUGAUGCCUAGCACAUUGUUUUUUAAUUUUAAUUUAAAUAUGAAAAAAACACAACAUAACUAACAUAUGUCUCAUAUCAAUUAUUAAUAUAUUAUUAACAUUGUCCUCUAUUUUUCUAUAUUAGCAUUACUAACAAUGUCAUAACUAUAGUAACAUCAGUGAUUAUUAUAAAUUUGGGGAUAUUUUUUCCAUUAAAACAAACAUUUAAAGAUUCCUGAAAUUCCUUGGUGGCCUAGCAGUUAAGAAUCCAGUGUUGUCACUGCUUUGGUGUGGGUUCAGUCCCUGGCCUGGGAACUUCCAAAUGCCACUGGUGUGGCCAAAAAAAUAAUAAGGAUUCUUAUUAUUUAGACCAGCACCACCCCAUGAAAGUUUGGUGAUGAUGAAAACAUCAUACAUCUGUCCUAUCUGAUAUAGUAAUCUACCUACAUAUGGCUGUUGGGCACUUAAAAUGUGCCCAGUAUUGAAUGCUGCAUUUAUUCAACUCUAAUUAUUCUAAAUUUAAGUAGUCACGUGUGACCAGUUGGUAUAGUCCUGGGUAGCACAGAGCUAGACACACAGAACAAUCUUAGGCAGAGAAGAAACUUUAAUACAUUUAAGACCAACCUUGCUUCAUGGUUACUGUGGGCAAGUCAUAUAAAGUCUCUCCACUGCAGCUUUCCAAUUUAAAAAAUAAAAUGCCAUUACUCUAUUGUAGGCACAUCAGUUGCAAUAAUAGAGGAAUAAUGUUUAAAAUUAUUUGGAAGAAAAAUACUAUAUUGAUCUAAAGCAUCUUUUUUUUUGUUUGUUUGUUUUCCUUAUUAAUCUUUUCAUUUAUGGUUUUCUGGGAAGAUCCUAGAAGUUUUGUCUAAAGUCUUGAGUUCAUGGCUCAGACCCACCCCUGAGAGCUCAUCAUCUUGAGAAAAGAUUCUUGAUCAUUAAUUUUUAUCCUUUAGGUGGAAUAGUAAUAUCGCAUCAUCCAUAGGAUCAAUAGGGUGUAAUGAUGAAUAAAACUGCCCUUUUAGACUAAGAAAUGAUGAACCUGUAAGUUAUUAUAUAAAUAAUUAUAAUAAGAAUAUAUGGCACACAGUGUAAUGACUGACAUCUUGUAAAUCUGAAAGGAAAUCUGCAAGGCUGGUUAGACAUAGUGAAACAUGUCCUUAAGUAGACAAAACCCUGUAUCCUAAAUAGCCACUGGCACCAAUAAGGAGGUUUUCUCUAAGGAACUUUGGCAUUUCUUUGAUCCAAGAGCACAGAUUUCUUUACCAUAUGGACACGUAGUGUUGCCUAAGUCAAGAACACACCUUUGGUUCAGAUUUUCCUUUAUUGUUGAUACCAUGUUCUCUGGUUUUAAUAUUUAUUAAUGGAUAUUCAUGUUGCAACAGAAGAAAGGGUGGGGGAAAAACUGUAAUUGCAAUGUGUACAUGUAAGGAUAACCUGACCCCCUUGCUGUACAGUGGGAAAAAAAAAAUUUAUUAAUGAGCAAACCUCUUAGAUUUUAAAAAAGUUUCUGAAUAAUAGUAGAUAAUAGUUUUGUCCUAGUCAAGAAUAUACUUUUGGCUUGAAUAUUAGUUAUUACAACCAUGCUAUCUCAUUUAAAUAUUAAUGAGCAAUAUCAUUAAUUAACUCCAAUUUUUUGAGAAUUUCUGAGUAACACUAACUCAAUAUAUGUCAUGACAUGAACAUUUCUGUUGUAAGUAGUGAUUUUUUAAAAAAUGCACUAAAUAGCGGUCAGGAAGAAACUCUUCUAAACAAUUCUUCAAAAAAAAUAAUUGAAUAAAGUUAAAAUUCACUGUUUCCAACACUCUCAAUCAUAUAUCCAUGAAAAAAAAUGCAACAAAACCAAGAAAAAUAUUUGAAGAUUCAGGCACGAGUAAACUGUUAAUGUACCAAAAAAUUAACUUAUGCAACUCUUAAAUAUUCAUAGUUAUGGGCAGGGACAGUGUAUAUGAAAGCCAGAAUCCAUAAAUUUGAAAAUGCAAUCAUUGGAUCAGCUGGUGGUUUUGUCUAUACAACUGCAUAAACAAUUUGCCUACUUUCCACUAAAUUGACCAGAUGCUCUGUUGUCAUGUAAACACAAUCUAAAUGAAAUCCACAGACUUCCCCCCAAUCCUUAUUUUAGCUAAAUGUUUCUUGGUUAAUUUUUUCCAGGUCUGUUAACAAUCAGAAUGAUUUGAUUGGCUUUCAACUCUUUUGCCAUUUCUUGUCUAUCCUUUAUUGAGCAGGCAAAUGAUGGAGAAAAUGAUGCAAGGGCAAGCAAAUAAACAUAGAAAGAAAGGUCUUUGGAAAGCAAGGCACUGCACAUAGUUGGCCCUUUCUCAGGACAGGAGUGGUUAAGAGGGCGUGGGAGGUUAAUGGCCAAACUGCCUCCCCAGUUGAGAUGCCUCCUUCCAGGAGUUCAGGAAUGAGAACCUCUCUCCUCUUCUAUGAAAUAUCUUCUUUGUUAAUGUUUGUACUUCCAAAGUUCUUCAAAGGUUUCACUUAAGUAAAAACUAGCAACAUAUGUUUUAAAAAGUUGAUUUGAUAAACAUAGAAUAACCUAAUUAAAAUUUUCAGUCC